rnacentral:lncRNA from 1 species
ACGGUUUCUGUUUCGGCAACGCGCGCGCGCGCCUUGCUGCCGCCGCUUCUCGACGAUUUCGUUAUAACAUUGGCAAAAUAGGUUAAGUGCGGAGAACAUCAGUCGUGCGGAGUUUGACGAGCCUGUGUGGCUUUAUCGAUUGUGCACUGAUGCAUGAAAGGCUAUUCGGGUCCAAGGACGUAUUGUCGGUUCGAUUUUGAAAACCCUGAGGUCGCGACCGACCUCACCGGCGCACGAACUAGUUCGAAAGUGGAGUCACAAGGUGUACUACUCAAAUACGGGCCUGAAACAGCCAUGCAGGUUCACAUCAUCUGCCUGCCUUGGGACCCUGGAAUUUAAUUGGUCGGGUUUGACUAAGAAGAAGCACCUGCUACACGACCAAUAGAGCCACAGUACACUGUUCAGGUUUCUCGAUACGUCGAGGCCCAUCCACCACACAGGCUGUCCUCCCGCCACUUGGCCACGUCCAUACUCAUGCUACCGCACAGCACCCCGCCACCUGUCGGGUCCCCGAUGUCCUGCGACGUCCAUUGUCCAUGACGGACGUGUGUGAGGGAACCCGUCGCCGAUUCCACACGUUCAACCGUCGAGCUACAACCGUGCAAUGGCGGCGGCAUCUGUCCAAGCACUCAUAGAGUUUUCGUCAGAGAUUACUAUAAGCAACUCUGGCACUAUAGUGUGUACGGGUGUUGUAAGUACGGUGGUUCAUAGCCAGCGUGGGAGCUAUGAGUAGUACACGAAUUUGUCUAAACUUUGCCCUUGUGGCUUCAAACGGCUUGGUUAACGUUUUUCAGCGCCAGCAGAUGAGGACAGAAAGAAGACGUUGAGAACUGAAGAUGUCCCCGUCCGCUCAUGCUAAACAUGUUAUCCAAGUUGGAGUGCCAACAUGCCCAACAUACUGCAGUCAAAUGGUGCUGCGACUUCGAAAAUUGGUCAUUUCCGCUGAAAUAAAGCGUUAUAAAUGCAGCAAUUCGCAGUGCUUAUGCACAUGCGCAGACGCAUAUUGCCUUGCUGCCUUUAGAUAAUUCUGAUUGCCUUGAAAUUUAGGAAGACAAGGAGAGAUAAGCAAAACCACAAGAACCUCUCAAGCCAUAAGUACGAACAUUAGACAAAUGCAUGCACUAGUCACCGCAUCUUUGUUACGGUACUCUGGUAACUGAAGGAUAGCAACGCUCGAGUUCCCCUUUGUGAUUUUUUGUAAGAAGCUUUACGUAAGCAUCCAUUUGCUUGCUCACUGCCCACACACCAGGCACGCCUUCAGCGUCCAUGUGACGGAAGAGCGUGCCUUUUAACCGAGCCUCCUCAAAGUCAGGUGGAAUUAUACUCAGUUCUCACAACGUUUGAAGUGGUGCGUUGUAUUUUCGAAGCUCCUUGUAAUAGUCUGUGUCGUACUUCAACUUUACGAGUUGUCAAUACGCCACACGUACCAUAUCUCAGUACGUGGGUGUAGGGAAGACGACAGAUGCGAAAAAAGAAAAGACGCCGCGCCUUAUAGUAAUGUUUGCCCAUAUAUCUCUUCUACUUUGUGUAUUCUUCCUUGCAGAAGGCGUAAAACCCACAAUUUUUCCCACACUUCCACCCUUCCGUCUGCACUGAAAACAAGCGCUAAGCAUUCGCAGCUACGGACAUUGCGUCUUGACGCAGGGCAUUGUCCUCUAGUUUACAAUUGUCCUGAGCUGUAUGUAACUGUGUUGCAAGUUACAGAAAAAGCAAAAUAAUAAUAAUAAUGAAGCGCAUCAUUUAUGUCCAUCCUUGUAUGUCUGGGUUGUAUAUUAACGCUCGAGAACGCUUUUGAUCUUUUCUUUAAGAAUUUUUGCGCCCCCCGAACUCAUUGGAUUGUUCACUAUAUGCUAUCGAAGAAAAGACAGUGGAGCCGAAAGUAGUGUAGAUCGCCGGCGGAACGAUCCAUGGCACAUCACCUCCUCAGCCCAGGCUACCUUGCCUCUUUCUUCAAGUUCAAACUUCUAAGAUGUCAUUGUCUUUGCAUUCACUUUGGCCUGAGAACGCGGUGACGUAUAUUUAACCAAUGCCGUGCGCCUUCCCUCCAACCCCCAGUUUUAAUUUUUUUCCAAGCACUUCCGGGGCUCCUGAUUAGAGGUAAUCAUCCCAAUGAACUCUGUCGUGUCCAGUUAUGCGCAUGUAUCGCCGCCUCGAUGUAUCUCAGGUGCUAUCUCUCGGAGCACUUCGCUUGGCUUUGUCGUGUUCCUCGCGCGACGUUCACGUGCACACAACUCCGAGAGAGACGUGAAUUCUCAGGAAUCUGCCAUAUCCAAGGGUGCGUGUCUCCGCUGUUCCGGCAACGAUGGAAGCAGUGGUCGACCGCCCCGAACCGUAGCGUUGAGCCGAUAGAAACAAAGAUUUAGGGUGUGGCUUUCUGUGGCUUGUGUAUAACCAGAGCGAGGCUUUCGUCCGCGAUUUUCCAUUUCGUGCGUGCGUGAGUGUGCGCGUGCGGUGUGAGUGAGCGACUAGAAGGUGAACCUGCGAAAAUUUUGGGAACACCCAGGCAGCUAAGUUGAAAAAUCCCGCGCUUUCUUCACGGCAGUUCCGCCAGCACCUGUGGUUGCAACUAUAUUGUACAAUAGCUUUAACCUUGGCGCCGCUGACGUCAAAGGGCCUAGACUCCUGCUGUGGAAGCGCGCUGCGAUUGAUCGACGAAAACAGCGUGGAAAGUAGCCAGCUGGCGCGCGGUCACGUUCCGCUAGAGUUGCUGUGUAUAGGAACUCUACGUUCGGCUAUCCGUUCCGCUACGUUCUGCUUUGUGUAGUGACAGGCUAUCGCGUGACGCUUUGCGUUUCCCGUUGUGCGGUGGCUCGCCCUUCCGUGACGCUUGGUGCCGGAAUGCAUGCUCUCGCAUCCCCUCGAGGAAGCUAUAGGUGCCAGCGCGGCCGAGGGUGAGAUAAGCGGUGACGGAGAGAUAGAGAUAUGAGAAAAAAAGAAGAUGCACUUUAGUGAUCGUGAAGGGAGUAUCCUGUUUGCUGUUCUGCACAAGGGGAAGAAAAAAAAUCCCGAUUGUGGAAGAGUAGAGAGGGAAGAACGCGAGGAAUAGCGCAGAUGGAUAUGUGAAUGCUUCAAAGGCUGGUGUCCUUCGUCUAUUGCUCCGUAUUUUCGAGAAUCCUUGCGAGAUCGCAUCCUAAAAUAGUUAUCCGUGUUUACUACUCAAAAGCAAAAUUUUGCGACCGGGUUGAAGAGAUUGAAACCACUGUAUCUGGUUUAGGCCUCUAUCACAGGUGCAGCAUGCUUCAAACUUUUGAAAUUAACCGACGCUUUCUUGAACGCCAAGAAUCUCAGAGAGGAAGCACCUCAUUGAGUGUGCUUGCUCACUUCAGCUUGCAAACGCAGGUGUUUGUGUCGCGGCUUACAUAUCGCGCACGGAGGUCCGUGGACCCUGUAUUGCAUGUUCGAUUCGCACCCGCAACUUUAGCGUCGCAGGAUCAGACGUGUCGUUGAUGUAAACGGAGUGUUGACCUCUUUGUUCGCGCGUAUCAUCUUAUCGUGGGCCGUAGUGCACGGCCGCAAACAUAUCUGUCUGUACACCCCCCCCCCCCUCCUUUGGAUAAUUGCUGCCCUGUGCGAAAGCAUAGGCGGUGGCGAUGAGUCGCUUCAUUUCACAGGUCUAUUACAAGCAUACGCCCUGCUUUCGAACGAUACACAUGUCACGUAUUCACCUUGGGCGCCUUUGCAUACAAUCACAGCGAUGUCACGGGCUCUACCAAGCCUUCACACAGCUGCCGUGCCUAGUCAAAGUUUCACGAGCUAGCGAGAAUCACGCAAAGCCUGCAAUCGUCAUGCCGUGGUUACGCUGCGAAUAGUCCCUUCUCAACAAUGAAUGUUUUUGCAACAUUCGACGUUGUAUACACAACUGUAUCCUGCAACCAAGUACUACACUUUUUAAAACAUUUUCUCGUCGCUAGGGUUUCUGAAGCUACAUCAUGUGUGCGUGGUGGCAUAAACAAAGGUCACAGCGUAUAAAGAAGAGAACUUACACCAGAUCUAAAUAAGUGAGCUCUGGCACCUUUUAUGCAGUUUCUUGUGAACUGGCUCAAGUAGCUUGCUCAUGGUAUAUAUACUUUCCACGUGGAAUUUGGAAACCUAAUAAGAUCCUUCUUGAAAUCUUCCGUGCAUGCAAUUUCCGGCCCUUCAUUUAUUGAUAUAGACGAUGUGCUCAAUAUAGUUGAUGCACGUGAUGUUCCUCUCAAAGGAAC